rnacentral:rRNA from 1 species
UACGUAGGGGGGCUAGCGUUGUCCGGAAUCAUUGGGCGUAAAGAGCGUGUAGGCGGUCCGGUAAGUCGGCUGUGAAAGUCCAAGGCUCAACCUUGGGAUGCCGGUCGAUACUGCCGGACUAGAGUUCGGAAGAGGCGAGUGGAAUUCCCGGGUGUAGCGGUGAAAUGCGCAGAUAUCGGGAGGAACACCUAUGGCGAAGGCAGCUCGCUGGGACGUUACUGACGCUGGAGACGCGAAAGCGUGGGGAGCAAACAGG